CUUACUGAUCCUAACCAAACUCCGAAUACCGGGAAGAACUGUCCGGCAGACACACAGUGGGUGCUAACGUCCAUUGUGGAGAGGGAAACAACCCUGACCGCCAGUUAAGGUCCCCAAGUUAUGGCUAAGUGGGAAAGGAUGUAGAGAUCCCAAAACAACCAGGAUGUUGGCUUAGAAGCAGCCAUCAUUUAAAGAAAGCGUAACAGCUCACUGGUCUAAAUAAGGGUCUCCGCGCCGAAAAUGUACCGGGGCUCAAGCCAUACACCGAAACUGCGGGUGCAUCGCAAGAUGCGCGGUAGCGGAGCGUUCUGUAAGUCUGCGAAGGAAGACCCGCGAGGGCUUCUGGAGAUAUCAGAAGUGCGAAUGCUGACAUGAGUAACGAUAAAGGGAGUGAGAGACUCCCUCGCCGAAAGUCCAAGGGUUCCUGCUCAACGCUAAUCGGAGCAGGGUUAGUCGGCCCCUAAGGCGAGGCCGAAAGGCGUAGUCGAUGGGAAUGAGGUUAAUAUUCCUCAACUUGGUGGUAGUGACGGAUGCCGUGUGUUGUAUCCCCUUAUCGGAUUGGGGGUGCAGCGAAGGUGUUCCAGGAAAUAGCUCCACCGUAUAAACCGUACCCGAAACCGACACAGGUGGACUGGUAGAGAAUACCAAGGCGCUUGAGAGAACUAUGCUGAAGGAACUCGGCAAAAUGCUCCCGUAAGUUCGCGAGAAGGGAGACCUCGAUUUGGGCAACCAGAUCGGGGUGGCACAGACCAGGGGGUGGCGACUGUUUAUCAAAAACACAGGGCUCUGCGAAGCCGCAAGGCGACGUAUAGGGUCUGACGCCUGCCCGGUG
rnacentral:rRNA from 1 species